rnacentral:lncRNA from 1 species
AGCAGAAGGAGAAGCUGGGUUCGGUGUGGGGAAAGCUCUUUUUCAGACACAAAUAGCUUUGAUAACAGCAGGAGAAAACAUAGAAAAUUACUGCCAAUGUAAAAUAACUUGUCAUAUAAAUGCUUCUGUCAACUGUGCCCAUGUUAUAAGGGCCCCUGAAGGAUAUGUGUCAGAUCUUAGAUGUGUCUGAUCGUGCAUAUCCAGAUACUGGAACUUAGUGUUGGGAGCUCUGCAAGACUGAUGUACAUAAAACAGCAAGCACAAAAUCUAAAUUCUGGAGAAGGACAGGGAGGCAUCUUCAAAGUUGAUAAGAAAGUCCAGACAGCCUGUCAGCAUCCUAUCCACAUGGCAGACCUCAAGGCUACCCUAAAGUUGCCAGUCCAACUGCCUGGGGAGACUCCCAUGGAACCAGAUGGCCCUGCUGAAGACAGUUGUCCACAACUUGGCAUCUGGGGUUUAUUUCGCGGUCUAUUCUUGUGAAUGAUGAUAGACAUUCUGGCCACCUCGAGUACAACCAUAUUGUCUCUGCACAGAUGAAGCAGGUGCAUGAACUUUCUCCUUUCUUCACAAAACAGAGAAAUGGAUUCAAUGUCUCCUUUCAAAAACAGAUUUAAUAUAUAUCCCAGACAAUCGUUUUUCACGGCAUUAGUCGGCAGUUUGUGAAGUUGAUUUUGUAAGGGAUAUGAUAAGCCUGGUUGAUUUGUAAGGUAAAGGUCCAAAACAACCAUCAAGAAGGACUUUGAAUGAGCUGGGUAUAGAUUAUCCAAUAUUUUCAUUAAACAACAAUAUCACAUUAAUCAGCUGAGGAAUAGCAAUAGCUUCAGAUUACUCGCUAUUUUGAGCAAAUCAAUACUGGCUUAACAAGGUUAUACUGUAAUGGAUAUGAAACAAGUAUUUGUUAAAGCUCCAAUCUGGAAUGGGGAGGGUUGUGAAAGAAACCCAGGACUGCCAAAUCUAAACUAGCCAUUCGUCUUAGCCCAUGGGAUCAAACCUAGGCCAAUAUGUGUCUUCAUCAUGGAAUCAUAGAAAUUGAAGAACUUUUGUAGCCAUCUAGUCUAUUCUCUACCUGCAAAGAUUCCAUACUCAAACAUAUCAGAUAAUCCAAUCUUUAUCUGAUGACUGCUGAUGAUGGAAAUCUACCACCUCUUGAGGGACAUUCUGCUUUCUAAUAUUUAGAAAUUCUCCCUCAGUGUCAAACCUAAAUGAGACUUUAUGCAACUUCCUGUUAUUACAAGUUCUGCCUUCUGGAUCCAAAUAGAACAAGUAUAAUUCCCCUCCCUCAAAGCAGCCCUUCAAACAUUUAAAGAUAGCUAGCACGUCCUACCUGAAGCUUCUCUUUUGUAGAUUAGAUAUCCCUAGUUCUUUCAAUGAAUCCUCAUAUGAUACAGAUUUUUUGCUAGUCAUCAUGCAUAUUAUCCUUCUCUGGAUGCUUUUCAACUUUUAAGUGUGAAGCUUAGGGAAUGAUAUGUAAGGAACUUUGGGCAGUCACUUUGUUCAAAGACAGACAUUAUCUUUUAUUGAACCAAAUAACUGAAGAAAAUACUGUUUUCAUAUCUUCAUUAAUACACUUAAUUGGGGAUUAUUUCUCCCAGGAGUCAUUGUGCUUUUUCUAAAUCAGAAAGCACAUAUGCAGUUUUUAUAAAGUAGCUAUUUAAUAAACCAUGAAUCAAUUCAGUGGAGUGAUGAUUG